rnacentral:rRNA from 1 species
UAAAGGUACCCGUACCGCAAACCGACACAGGUGGGUGAGGAGAGUAUCCUAAGGCCAGCGAGAGAACUGUUGUUAAGGAACUCGGCAAAAUGACCCCGUAACUUAGGGAUAAGGGGUGCCACCAUCAGGUGGCCGCAGAGAAUAGGCCCAAGCGACUGUUUACCAAAAACAUAGGUUUCUGCUAAGUCGCAAGACGAGGAAUAGGAGCGGAGGCCUGACCGGCGCGGGAAGUGUAAGGAGAUAUGUUAGGGCAAUCGAAGCGGGGAACUGAAGCACGAGGAAACGGCGGCCGUAAGUAGAACGGUCCUAAGGUAGCGAAAUUCCUGGUCGGGUAAGUUCCGACCCGAACGAAAGGCGUAACGAUUUGGGCACUGUCUCAACAACAGACUCGGUGAAAUUGUAAUUCCGGUGAAGAUGCCGGAUACCUGCGACAGGACGGAAAGACCCCAUGGAGCUUUACUGUAGCUUGACAUUGGGUCUUGGUACUACAUGUACAGGAUAGGUGGGAGGCUUUGAAACCAGGACGCCAGUUUUGGCGGAGCCAUCCUUGGGAU